GUCCCCUCCCGGGGGCGCCCCGGGGAGGGAACCAAGACCCCCGACGCCGCCGGCCCGACGCCCCCUCCCCAAUCCUCCCAGAUCUUUCUAGCAAAUUCACUUUUAAAAAGAGAGGUGCGAGGUGGGUGAGCCAACUGCAGGCCCUGGCUUCUGAACCUCCUCAUGUGCCGCCACAGGGACCUUCCGGGGGUCCACGCUGAAACCCACCCGAGGGUCACUGGAGUGCACAGGGCUGGAGACUGUGUUCAUCAGGUCUACGGGUCUGCUGUCGGGGAGGGUCCCGGGUACGCUUUCCCACCUGGAGCUGCUUGGUCUCCCCGUGGGAGCUUCCAGUCCUGGGUCCUUUGCCCCCUCUUUUCCGGACUUUUUUCCCCCCAACUCUUCCCCACCCCCACCCACCUUCUCACAUUUUAACCCUAUUUUUUUUUAUGUUUUCCCCACCCCUCUUACUGAACCUUUUCUCAGCUCUACAAUAGGCAACUGUCGAGGUUUUGGAGUUGUGAUUGACGUUGCUGGAGUAACCCAAACACAGCUCUAUUCUUUGUGGGAGUCAGGGAGGAGGCGAUGACCCCCAUUCCUGGACCAGAAUGUCCAGGUGACAGGAUUCGAACCAAGGACUCCCCAGUUUGUGGCCGACCGCAGGAUCACCUGGCUGCCUGGCAUCCGCCAGCACGUGGUCAGAGUGGCGACCGAAAGAGAGAAUGCAGUUUCCAGCUCCAACCUCUCAGAGACAUGCUGCCAACCUCCGCACCCUCUCACGCCGCACCCCACGUGCUGGGGACGAAUUCGGUGCGAGGUUCACCUUGGGGAACCCUCAGUAGCCGGAGGGGGAAGUAGAUGGGGAGCUGAAGGAGAGGGCUUCUCAGGCUGGAAGCGCUCUCACUUUCCAGUCUCCAGACAUUUGGGGCCUCCGUCCCGAGACCCUCUCCUCCCCUCCUCCGCCGUCCUCCCCGCCGCAGGCCACCUCUCCCACCCCCAGAAUCCCCUCCCCGCUGGAAUUUCACUGCAAAGCCAAGAGUGGGGGAGGGAAGAGGCGAGGGGCCCUCCGCAGGCUCUGGAGACUGGAGGACCCGCCACCCAGACUUUGUCCUCCGGGUGGGCGAGCCCCGACGACGACCACCCGCCUCUUCCCCGUCCUGGAGCUCCGGAUGCUGUCUUCACUGGAGGUGCAGAGAAAACCCUGAAGAGCUAGCCUUCGAGUGAUGUGGAAAGACUGGACGGCCUCCAAGUCCUCGGUCGGGAUAGAUGGACACCUCCAUACACCUAUGUCGCCCCGUACUUGCUCCCCUGUCCCGGGGCUCUAUCAGAUCCUUUCCUCUGAGGUGGCCCUGGGGAACUUUUUAGUCAUUGCUUUUAUGAGGUCUUAAAACGUAAAUUCACCUAUCUGUCCAGGGUGAUACCAAAAAGCUUCUAUUUGGGAAGCCUGUGAUUAAAGGCAACAGGUGAUGGACAGUG